GUCGUAUUAAGGGUUUAACAAAGGUCUGUCGCAGGGGCAAAGUAAGUGCCGCCUGGAGUGGAUGUUACACUCCCGGCAGCAGUUAUUUUGAUACUAGCCGCUGCUUGUAACCCGAAUUUUAACUCUCAACGCAAAGCAAGAGAGACAGCUCUUAUCUAAAAAAACUUGUAAGUUGAGACACUCGUAAGUCAAGGUACCACUGAUAACUUUUUUAGAUUUUUCGAAGUUUUAAUGAGUUUAUCAUCCAUGUCAGGUUUUAUACUGGCAAGUAGAAAAUGUCAAUGUGGGCAUGGCCCACCUGUACCCACACAAGAUCCUGGAAGUUUCCUCCAUCCGCCAAGAGUUGACCAAACUCUGGACAGGCACCAUUCAAGACUUCUUUCCCUCUGCCAUUCAUCUUCUUGGCACGGUAGCUUACACCUUAAGAUUGGGGGCUCUUUAGUCAUCUCUUAUGACAUGAAGGACAAACUUUGAGUGAAUUCUGGCCUCCACUUGC
rnacentral:lncRNA from 1 species